AACGAACGCUGGCGGCAUGCCUAACACAUGCAAGUCGAACGAGAUCUUCGGGUCUAGUGGCGCACGGGUGCGUAACGCGUGGGAAUCUGCCCUUUGGUUCGGAAUAACAGUUGGAAACGACUGCUAAUACCGGAUGAUGACGAAAGUCCAAAGAUUUAUCGCCAGAGGAUGAGCCCGCGUAGGAUUAGCUAGUUGGUUUGGUAAAGGCGCACCAAGGCGACGAUCCUUAGCUGGUCUGAGAGGAUGAUCAGCCACACUGGGACUGAGACACGGCCCAGACUCCUACGGGAGGCAGCAGUGGGGAAUAUUGGACAAUGGGCGAAAGCCUGACCCAGCAAUGCCGCGUGAGUGAUGAAGGCCUUAGGGUUGUAAAGCUCUUUUACCCGGGAUGAUAAUGACAGUACCGGGAGAAUAAGCUCCGGCUAACUCCGUGCCAGCAGCCGCGGUAA
rnacentral:rRNA from 1 species